AGGUAGUAAGAUUUACAUUUUGAAAAUGGACGCGAACAAAGGGUAGAUGCUCAUUUUUUUUCAAUUAUUUCGUUGCGAAUAUUAUUUGCAAUUUGCAUUUUGCAUUUUGUUGUCAGCGAAUUUUGUUUUUUUUGGUUCGUAUCUUAAUUUUGCGCUCGACAAUUUUUUAAAUCUGGCAAUAGUGCAUCUCGUAAAAAUAAUGCAACCGAUUUUUCGCGCCCAGCAUUUUAGGGUAGGCUAAAGGGCGACAGAGAAAAAUAAUAUUUAGAAAUUGUUUUCGUUGACUGUUUUGGGUGCCAUUUUGUACUUUUGAGGUCUUUCAGAUUAGUCGAUUUAGAUAACUGUUUUUCUUAAUAUGCCUCAGCCGAAAUGGUACGGAAAAUCUCUUUCGGCAUUGUGCAUGGACAAUAUCGUCGAUAACAUGGAGAAAUGGACGGCAUUACGUAGUUCGGAGUAUGUUUCCUAUCAUUUUUAUCAUCAGCCUUCACAUUGUCUGGACAACAUAACUGAAUGUCUCUUGAAAGACCAUAGACUACGAAGAAGUCAAUGGUCGAAAGGCUACGCUAUAACAGAGGACAUGUUGGAUUUAUUACUUUUAAGCCCACACAGGAAAGUUCUGGAUUUAUCAAAAGAUUAUCAGGGCACUGGACAUGAUCUACAAAGAAAUUUUCGCAUCUUUCGUCAGGCAUCUGUCAAUUGUUUGCAACUCACCACACUGAAGAUCGAUGAUGGCUGUUUUCCUUCCGAUUCAAACAGAAAUUUUGAAGUAGAAGAAUCUUUUGCUGCUAUUUUGCAGCUUUUCGAACACCUGCAGAUCCUUAGUUUAACUGGCACAAUUUAUGGUGCAAGAAGCAUGCUCAAACUUGGAUCAACCAAUAAACCAAAAAUAAGGGAGUUGCUAGUUGAUAGAUUCCCUGGUGUGACCGAUACAGUAGUUGAAGUGUUUUGCAAUGGUCAAAGUGGCCUUCACAAAUUAUCAGUUAAUCGAACGGAAGUGACUCCUAUCGGAAUUCAAUGUGCUAUCGAACAUUUACCAGAACUGGAAGAAUUAAAUUGCAGCAAUGAGUCUUAUAUCCUGAUGCAAGCUUUUCAAAGAAUUCCUAUUGAAACCAGAGAAUCAAAAAAAUAUUCCUUGACCAAGUUGUGUAUGAAUACGGAGGACCGAAAAGUCCCCUAUAAAAAAGGCAGCGUUUCAUUGAUGGUUGACAAGUGUCCGUUGAUCGACGAUCUUUUCGUAGGUGUAUACGACGAAGGAUUUACGAAUGAGGAGUUUUUAGGUUUUCGAGAACUUAAACGACUAAAAAAUCUCAUAAUUUCCCAAUCCACGAUGUCACCGGUCUUUAUUCGUGGCGGAGUAAUUCCUCUUCUACAAUCUCGUGGCCCUACACUUGCAGAGUUAACUUUAUGUGUGGAAGUAACGAGUGCAGAAGUAUAUCUCAUCAUCGAGUGCUGCCCGAAUGUUCGCCGUUUGUGUCUUGCUAUGAAAGGAAUGGAUCUGGAAACUCCUGAACUGGUGGUAGAUGAUCGCGUCCACUCUUCUCUUUGUUCCCCAAAACAAGUAAUUCCGUUAAGGAUGCUGGAAGAAAUCUCUCUCUACCCUGCUAACCAUUUUUCCCCUAUCUACGCCAUUUCACGCAAAUUGUUGCUAUUGCUUUUGUCUUCCCCUACUCUUACAGAUAUUUCCAUAAAAAAGUGUUUUACUCUUGAUGACCAGAUCAUUGAGGAAGCUUGCACUGAAAACAGUUUCAAGUAUUUGACGAGGUUAAAGUUUCACGGUUGUUCUAAUGUGAGCCAGAAAGGCAUCGAUUUUUUCCUGAAUGAAACGAAUCCUUUGGACGGAAUAACUGUAAAAAAAUGUGGAAAUGUGAACCUUGAGCAUAUGAAAACCAUGGCUCAAGAGAAGCACUGGAAUGUCAAGUGGAAUGUUGAGCUUAAGAGGAGGGGUGAGAAAAAGUCGUAUAAAAGGCGAGAGAAAAGGCCAUAUGGAUCAGUCGAGCGACUAUCUCCGACACGGUAACAGCUGCAGUGCUCUAUUUGCCAUCAGCUGCAUUCUUCAUCGUAUAUCAGUUCUCAAUCAUGGUCGUACAAAAGGGCAAGGAAAAGGCGAAAUAAUUCAGUAGCCGAGUGAGCAUCUCCGACACGGUAGCAGCAACUGCAGUGCACCAUUUGUCACCAACUGCAUUCUUCGGCGAAUUGCUAGUUUAAAUCAUUGUUAACUAUGGCGUCAUGCUGCUGUUGGGUGAUGCAUCGUUGAUGGCUGGUUCAGCCACUGCCCAUUGGUGUGCCGAUGACUCCUGGUAAGGCGGAUAACAAAUUGCAAACCCGCCACAUUACUACACGACAUACGACACGACCAGUUGCUACACCGUGGCCCCCCAGUACUGCACCAAGGCUCCAGAAUAUUACAUCACAACUUAUGCUGCCCUGAGCUACUGCACCGAAUCCUUGACGUAUUAUUCUUCCUCGAGCUAAACUACUAAAGGGUCGAGUACUACACCGAAUCCCCGAUGCUCCGAAGUACUACACCACCAAGGCACCGUAGACACCACUACAUAUCAUGGUCGUAUGAUAGGAGAAAAAAGGUGAAAGAAUUCAGCAGCCGAUUUAGGAUCUCCGUUACGUCAACAGGAACUGCCGUGCACCAUUUUUCAUCAACUUCAUUCUUCGUCGUAUCACAAAUUUUAAAUAAAGUAACGUUGAUGGCCGGGUCGACCACUGGUGUACCAAUAUCUCCUGGGUAUGGUGGGCAUCAACAACAACAUACGCAAAAACCGCUUACUACACUGAGACCCCAAAGUGCCAUACCACCGAAGAUCAACUUUUUACCCCAUCGAAGCGCCCAAGUACUGCACUACAACCUACGUCGCCCUUGCUUACACCACGCAGGGAGCGGAGUACUACACCACGCAGGGAGCGGAGUACUUCACCAAGGCUGCAGUUUACUUCACUACAACCUACUCUGCUUCAGAGUACUACACUGAUGUUUCAAAGUACUACACCAUUAAAGGCUUGAGUAGAAGCUCCAAAAGCACUUCUCUGUCCCGAGUUACUACACCACUAACGCAGCCAAAUCAUACCCCAAACUACGAUUCCGCAAUAUUCUACAAGGAAAUUCCUUAUUACUAGAACCGAAAUUUCUACUCGAGGUUAUUUAUAUUUAUCGGUUGUUUUCAUGGUAAUUGGUCGCUGGGAAUCAAUUGUUGAUCUUAAAUGAGAAAAUAUAAGUUUUAAUACGGGUAACUCUUUUGUAAGAUCUUGUUAGUAACUUAAAGCCUGUUAACAUUGCGACAGGUGUCUUUUGGUGUUGGAUUUCUUCAAGGCCAGUAUGCUAAGUUGUAAAUUAUUUUACGUUUAACUACUGCCUUAGUUACUCUCAUUGCUGUUGUGGUUUGACGAUGUUUAAGGGCAAAAUAAGAAAGAAACUUGUAACUGUUGAUUUUUUCAAAUCUUGUAAAUAAGAGGUGACUGACCCUUGUAUAAAUGAAAGACUUUGAAGUUGAGGAAAAUAUAUUGAUAUAAUUCCUAAA
rnacentral:misc_RNA from 1 species